rnacentral:rRNA from 1 species
GCUAGUAAUCGCGAAUCAGAAUGCCGCGGUGAAUACGUUCCCGGGUCUUGUACACACCGCCCGUCACACCAUGGGAGUCGGGAAUGCCCGAAGCCGGUGACCGAACCGCAAGGACGGAGCCGUCGAAGGCAGAUUCGAUAACUGGGGUGAAGUCGUAACAAGGUAGC